rnacentral:piRNA from 1 species
UAAUGGUCCUCAUUUAGGU